rnacentral:rRNA from 1 species
UACGUAGGGGGCAAGCGUUGUCCGGAUUUAUUGGGCGUAAAGAGCGUGUAGGCGGCCUGGUAGGUCGGUCGUGAAAACUCGAGGCUCAACUUCGAGACGUCGACCGAAACCCUCAGGCUAGAGUCCGGAAGAGGAGAGCGGAAUUCCUGGUGUAGCGGUGAAAUGCGCAGAUAUCAGGAAGAACACCCGUGGCGAAGGCGGCUCUCUGGGACGGUACUGACGCUGAGACGCGAAAGCGUGGGGAG